GAUGAACGCUAGCUACAGGCUUAACACAUGCAAGUCGAGGGACCGGCGCACGGGUGAGUAACACGUAUCCAACCUGCCCUUUACUCGGGGAUAGCCUUUCGAAAGAAAGAUUAAUACCCGAUAUAAAGGAUGGGGAUGCGUUCCAUUAGGUUGUUGGUGAGGUAACGGCCCACCAAGCCUCCGAUGGAUAGGGGUUCUGAGAGGAAGGUACCCUACAAUGGAGCGAAGGCACGGUCCAAACUCCUACGGGGGGCAGCAGUGAGGAAUAUUGGUGAAUGGGCGCUAGCCUGAACCAGCCAAGUAGCGGGAGGGAUGAAGGCUUAUGGGUCGUAAACUUCUAUGAUAUAAGAAUAUGUAUUAGAUGAAUAAGGAUCGGCUAACUCCGUGCCAGCAGCCGCGGUAAUUC
rnacentral:rRNA from 1 species